rnacentral:ncRNA from 1 species
CCCGCUGAAUUUAAGCAUAUUAUUAAGCGGAAGAAAAGAAACUAAGAUUUCCUUAAUAUCGGCGAGCGCACAGGAAAGAGCACAGCACCGAAUCCCGCGGUUCUGUCGUAGGGAAAUGUGGUGUUUGAGAGGAUCCGUUUAUCCCGAGAUGUCACGUCGCGUCCAAGUCCAUCUUGAAUGGGGCCACUUACCCGCAGAGGGUGCCAGGCCCGUAGCGACCGGUGCGCGUCUCGGGAGGAUUCCUCCUUAGAGUCGGGUUGCUUGAGAGUGCAGCUCUAAGUGGAUGGUAAACUCCAUGUAAGGCUAAAUACGACCACGAGACCGAUAGCGAACAAGUAUCGUGAGGGAAAGUUGAAAAGAAUUUUGAAGAAAUUUUCAUAAAUUUGAACAUAAGGAGAGUUAUGGAAAUAUUGGCAAUAGUAUUGGACGAAGAAUUGAAUAAAUUUGUAUAAUGGAUAAAUGUGGAUGAGUGGAAAUACAGGAAGAUGGUAUGGAGUUUUCGAUUAUCUAAGGAGUUCCUGAAAAUGGUUUUAUUAUUUUAAGUUUGCGGCGUGAAUUUACGAAUUUGUUAACGGUUAAGAUAUUUUUAAAAAAUUAAGGAGAUGAUCAUACAAAUGUUUAUUAAUUUGAAAUGUUA